CCUGUCGGUGUAACUGGCAUGUCGCGGCAUGUCCUGUCGGUGGUGAACGGGAUCCCCGGUACUGUCUAGACUUAAUUGUCGAAACAUGUAUCGUGUGUGUUUCCGUUUGCCGAUCUCUCCUACUCCGGUGCUCUUAAACGAGUGUCGAGGUAGGCCGACACGUUCACUUUGAACAAAUUAGAGUGCUUAAAGCAGGCUGAAAUAUCUGCCUGAAUAGUGGUGCAUGGAAUGAUAAAACAGGACCUCGGUUCUAUUUUGUUGGUUUUAGGAAUAUGAGGUAAUGAUCAAUGUGGACUGGCGGGGGCAUUCGUAUUGCGACGUUAGAGGUGAAAUUCUUGGAUCGUCGCAAGACGCACUAGAGCGAAAGCAUUUGCCAAGUAUGUCUUAAUUGAUCAAGAACGAAAGUUAGAGGUUCGAAGGCGAUCAGAUACCGCCCUAGUUCUAACCAUAAACGAUGCCAGCCAGCGAU
rnacentral:rRNA from 1 species